rnacentral:ribozyme from 1 species
UGCUCAGCAACUCCUAUCCCUACCUCAGCGUGGCACCGGCCGGACUACGAGCAACCUUAGGGAAGAUCAGGUAACUAACCCCGGUGGGAGCUUUGGUCGUGGUCUGACAGGGAAGG